UACAGAGACGUCGAGCGUUGUUCGGAUUCAUUGGGCGUAAAGGGUCCGCAGGCGGUUGGGUAAGUCGGAUGUGAAAUCUCGAGGCUUAACCUCGAUAAGUCAUUCGAAACUGCCCGGCUUGAGGAGUGGAGAGGAGACUGGAAUUGUCGGUGUAGCGGUGAAAUGCGUAGAGAUCGACAAGAACACCGGUGGCGAAGGCGGGUCUCUGGACACUUCCUGACGCUCAGGGACGAAAGCCAGGGGAG
rnacentral:rRNA from 1 species